ensembl:snoRNA SNORA70 Small nucleolar RNA SNORA70
CUACUGCCAAUUAAACUUACCAUUCUCCUUUCUUCAUGGGGAACGUGAUACGCAAUGACCGCAAAUAUCAGCCUUUUCAGAAUUAUACACAGGCUGCUAUUGGUACGGGCUACCAUAGGGGACCUUUAAGACAGAU